CAACGGCUCCCAGAAGGCGCCAAAUCCUUCCGGCGCAUAUUAGCCUCCCCCGCCCAGAUAAAAGCACCCGCUUCGUCCGGCAUUCUUUCAGCAGACAACGGAAAAAGGCAUGGAAUCUCCCAUUCUUUCAUCCGUUUCCAUUUCUCGAAGCUCCAAGACCCUCUUCAAAGGGGGAGUUUCCGCAAACCCUAACCGUAAUCUUUUCAGCAGAGAUCGAAGGAAGCAUCUGACUGGAAAUGGCAGAUUGUCGACAGGGAUCCCUGCAGCAGCUGAAGCUGCAUCCGCCAUCGAUCCGGCCCAGGCCGAGAUCACCUGGCAGAUUGUCGUUGGCGCUUUAGCUGGUAUCACACCGUUCGUCGUUGCAGGGAUUGAAUUCAGCAAACGCAUUGUGGCACAAAGGAGAUGUGGAGUUUGUGGAGGCUCAGGACUUGUUCUAAGGGAUGAAGACUAUUUCCGUUGCCCUGGCUGUGGUGGAUUUCUCCCAUGGCAGUCGUGGAAAAGGUUCUUUUCAGGUAGUUUGGAGUUUUAAUUCCCCUAUCCGAAUGUGUGGACUAUUGCUCAUGCUUUUUCCACAUAAUCCAAAGGGGGUAGCUUGAAGAGGUAUGUGAAAAGGUUGAAAUAUUCCAGACUGAUGUAGACCUGAAGAUCCAGCUGAGGUUUCAAUCCAACUCAUAGGAUUUCAUUGUUCAGUGGUCCCUGCCGUGAUUGGAUGAGCCUCAGUGUGGUUGGCUGAUGCCCCAAGUCCUAACAAACUGGAGGAUCCUAAUCCUUCAAUCUUUGCCUUAUUUUUCGUCGAAUGUGGACUGUUGCUGUAUUUUAUUUUAAACCAUCUGUUUGUAGUUCAGUCAUCAAAGGUCUUGGAUCGUCCUAUCUGGGAGAUUCCUGGGCCAUCCCUAGAUGUAGGGAGGUUGGCAUUGACUUUCAUAACAAACACCAAACCUAUGGGCUGGACUUCACAACAAACAUAUAAUAUAAAUAGCCAUUUAAUCCUUCUUUUA